UACGUAGGGGGCUAGCGUUGCUCGGAAUCACUGGGCGUAAAGGGCGCGUAGGCGGUCUUUUAAGUCGGGGGUGAAAGCCUGUGGCUCAACCACAGAAUUGCCUUCGAUACUGGGAGACUUGAGACCGGAAGAGGACAGCGGAACUGCGAGUGUAGAGGUGAAAUUCGUAGAUAUUCGCAAGAACACCAGUGGCGAAGGCGGCUGUCUGGUCCGGUUCUGACGCUGAGGCGCGAAAGCGUGGGGAGCAAACAGG
rnacentral:rRNA from 1 species